CCUACGGGAGGCAGCAGUGGGGAAUAUUGGACAAUGGGCGGAAGCCUGAUCCAGCCAUGCCGCGUGUGUGAAGAAGGUCUUCGGAUUGUAAAGCACUUUAAGUUGGGAGGAAGGGCAGUUACCUAAUACGUGAUUGGUUUGACGUUACCGACAGAAUAAGCACCGGCUAACUCUGUGCCAGCAGCCGCGGUAAU
rnacentral:rRNA from 1 species